GCAGAACGCAGAGCUCCGUGCAAAUCCAGACAAAGAGCUGUGCAAGGGCCUGGCCCUGCCGGGUGCUUGGGCCCAGCAGGACACCUGCCCCUCUCUGAGGCGGCACAGCCUACGUGGCACGCUUGGUGCCCGUAAGCCCCGCCCCUAAUUCCGAAGCCCCGGCAGCCACGCAGCCCUGAGCAUGGCCACGCUCAUGUCCACCCGGAUUGCAGCAGGACAGGCUCCGUGGUUGGCACAGCUCCUACAGGCGGCCAGGAAGGGCUUGGUGAGCGGAGAACAAGGCGGCAUUGUUUCCCCGCGGGGACAGAGGCGGGCGCAGAGCAGCUUGGGCGAGCAGCUCCCGAUGAAGCUUUCCUUUCUGUUUCGGACACAAAGUGUCAGGAGGCCGUCCGGCCUGGGCUCCAAGUCCUCCCGCGUAGGAAGCUGGAAGGACAGCUGCAGGCCCCCAUCCAAGCAGCUCCCUGAGUGGAAAUGGAAGACACGAAAACGUCUGGAAACAGUUCUCGGAAAAUAAACCGCACAGAGUGCGCACGCCCGGGCACCAGGACCCGCUCCCGGCUCGCGAUGCACGGAGCGCUCGGCCAAGGGGCUGG
rnacentral:lncRNA from 1 species